rnacentral:lncRNA from 1 species
AGUCUGGGAGAAAUGCUUAUCUGUGACGGUGAGCUAAAGCCAUGAGAGAGGGCACAACACACCGAAUAUGUGAGCAGCUGCCGACUAAUGCCCACUGAUGACUGGAAGGUGCUUACUGAUGAUUGGGAAAGGCUUUGUGAAAUGAAAGUCCAUUAUUUCCAAAUUUGGAAAUGCCUUUAUAGGACAACUGUGAGGGCCAAAAGCUUCAAGCUCUUCAGGGAUCAGGAGAGAUGGAGUAGAUGUGACUUGGAAAGCAAUGGCCUAAAAGACAGAUUGCCAUUUCCUGGCUGGCUGCUGACCUGAUACUCACCCACGGUGUUGCGGACCUUAGACCAAACAGAUGCCACAGGACAGUGGGGACUAAGUGACAAGCAGCAACAUCCACUCCCUGCAGCCAGGGGGCCAUAGUGAGCCAGGGAAAGGCUGCCACGUGUGGAGUUUUCACGGCACCAGCGAAACCA